GAUGAAGAACGUAGCGAAAUGCGAUACGUAAUGUGAAUUGCAGAUUUCAGUGAAUCAUCGAAUCUUUGAACGCACAUUGCGCCCGCUAGUAUUCUGGCGGGCAUGCCUGUUCGAGCGUCAUUUCAACCAUCAAGCCUAGGCUUGCGUUGGAGCCCUGCGGCUGCCGCAGGCUCCCAAAUCCAGUGGCGGGCUCGUCGUCGUACCGAGUGCAGUAAACAUCCUCGCUCAGGGAACGUGACGGGUUCUUGCCGUGAAACCCCCCACAUAUCAAGGUUGACCUCGGAUCAGGUAGGAAUACCCGCUGAACUUAAGCAUAUCAAUAAGCGGAGGA
rnacentral:misc_RNA from 1 species